GGUUCGAUUGUAUUUUAAUGUAUGUGUAACAAGUUAUGUGAUGGGAUGUUGGUGACUUAAGGUGUAUGAAGGUGUAUUAGAAUGAGCAGUGUUAAUUGGAUUAUGUGAUAGGGUUCUUCUUUUUUUUUUAAUGUGUUUCACGUGUGGUUUUGUGUGUAAAGAGUGUAACAAGUGGUGGUGGAGUGGGAUUAAGAUUAGUCGGUGGAUUAUUAGAAAGUGGGUGUAACUUAUAAUAAAAAGAUUAUGUUAUGACUAUUUAAUUGAAAUAUUAAGAGGUGAAUAAAAAAAUAAAGUAAAAUAUAAAUCUAAA
rnacentral:lncRNA from 1 species